rnacentral:rRNA from 1 species
UACGAAGGGGACUAGCGUUGUUCGGAAUUACUGGGCGUAAAGCGCACGUAGGCGGACUUGUAAGUCAGGGGUGAAAUCCCGGGGCUCAACCUCGGAACUGCCUUUGAUACUGCGAGUCUCGAGUCCGAUAGAGGUGGGUGGAAUUCCUAGUGUAGAGGUGAAAUUCGUAGAUAUUAGGAAGAACACCGGUGGCGAAGGCGGCCCACUGGAUCGGUACUGACGCUGAGGUGCGAAAGCGUGGGGAGCAAACAGG